CCUACGGGAGGCAGCAGUGGGGAAUAUUGCACAAUGGGGGAAACCCUGAUGCAGCAACGCCGCGUGAGUGAUGAAGGUUUUCGGAUCGUAAAGCUCUGUCUUCAGGGACGAUAAUGACGGUACCUGAGGAGGAAGCCACGGCUAACUACGUGCCAGCAGCCGCGGUAAUACGUAGGUGGCGAGCGUUGUCCGGAUUUACUGGGCGUAAAGGGAGCGUAGGCGGACUUUUAAGUGAGAUGUGAAAUACUCGGGCUCAACCCGGGGGCUGCAUUUCAAACUGGGAGUCUAGAGUGCAGGAGAGGAGAGUGGAAUUCCUAGUGUAGCGGUGAAAUGCGUAGAGAUUAGGAAGAACACCAGUGGCGAAGGCGACUCUCUGGACUGUAACUGACGCUGAGGCUCGAAAGCGUGGGGAGCAAACAGGAUUAGAUACCCUUGUAGUC
rnacentral:rRNA from 1 species